CAGCAGCCGCGGUAAUACGAAGGGUGCAAGCGUUACUCGGAAUUACUGGGCGUAAAGCGUGCGUAGGUGGUGCGUUAAGUCUGUUGUGAAAUCCCUGGGCUCAACCUGGGAAUUGCAGUCGAUACUGGGAAGCUAGAGUUCGGUAGAGGACGGCGGAAUUUCCGGUGUAGCGGUGAAAUGCGUAGAGAUCGGAAGGAACACCAGUGGCGAAGGCGGCUACCUGGACAGAUACUGACACUGAGGCGCGAAAGCGUGGGGAGCAAACAGGAUUAGAUACCCUGGUAGUCCACGCUGUAAACGAUGGGCACUUGGUGUUGCGGGUAUCGACCCCUGCAGUGCCGAAGCUAACGCAUUAAGUGCUCCGCCUGGGGAGUACGGUCGCAAGAUUAAAACUCAAAGGAAUUGACGGG
rnacentral:rRNA from 1 species